UUACGUUGCCUUUUUGUGGAUGACGGCAACUGCUUUAAAGAAAUAUAUGAUUUUGUUCGUUACUGCGAGAAAACGGACUCUCAAAGAUGGACUUUUUUUUGUGUUAGAAAAUUAUAAAGAAAUUAAAUGCGUUGCAAUCGGCGCUCGAAGAACAGAUCCUUUUUAUCAGAACGCACGCGAUUUUGCUAUGACGGACGGCGACUGGCCACUCUGCAUGCGCGUUCAUCCGAUCCUGGAGUGGCACUACUUUGAUGUCUGGCAAUUUAUAGAUGCCUUGAAAAUUCCUAUUUGCUCUUUGUACGAUCGCGGAUACACGUCACUUGGCAGCCGGAGCGAUACACUUCCCAAUCAAUUUCUUAAAGAUGCCUCGUAUGAAAGCGGGUACAAACAGGCAAGAAUG